AGUGGCAUGAUCUCAGCUCACUGUAGCAUUGACCUCCCAGGCUGAGGCGAUUCUCCUGCCUCAGCCUCCCGAGCAGCUGGGAUCACAGGUGUGCACUACCACACCUGGCUAAUUGUUAACUUUUUUUUUGAGAUGGGGUCUUGCUAUGUUGCCCAGUCUGGCAACAUGGGAUCCUCCAACUCCUGGCUUUGAGGGAUCCUCCCACUUCGGCCUCCCAAAGCCCUGAAAAUUACAGACGUGAGACACCAUGCCCAGCCUAUAUUGUUGCAUAUUUCUUCCAUUGUGUUUUGUGGUCGCUGGAGGUCUGUUUCUUCUUGGAUUCCCUGCACAGUGUUCCACAGCUGCUCCACGUAAUCUGCCCAAGACUUCGGCUGCAUUCAGUUGAACACACAGGAGGAAACUUCACUCCCCAGCCGACCACACAAAGAUCCGUUCUCAUCCCCAGGGCAGCUGCUCUGGCCACUCCACCCGCGCCCUGGAUGGCUCCAGUUGCUGUGAGCGCGACCACCCGCCGCGUGAUUAAGAGCGCUCCGGGCCGGGCAGUCUCCCGUGGGAGUGGGGGCGUGGGCCUGAGAACCGGGAGGACGCUGGAGAAAAGCUGCCCUGUGAAUCUUUCUUUGGCUGUCCAGGCUCCCCUUGACUCCAAAUGUUCCGUUGAAAACAGAUGCACAGGUGGGGUUUGCCAUGUCUUUUUCUUGGCGUGUUUCUGCUUCCAUGUUUAAAUUUCUCAUGUAAGGCUGUUUUUUUUAGGGCAUGUAAGGGGAAGUUAGUUGUAUCUUCCUAUGUUAGAGGAGCAGGUUUAUUUCCUCCUAUAACUUAAAAUGUAGCAGUCUUGGCCGGGCGCGGGGGCUCACGCCUGUAAUCCCAGCACUUUGGGAGGCCGAGGCGGGUGAAUCACGAGGUGAGGAGAUCGAGACCAUUCUGGCUAACACGGUGAAACCCCGUCUCUACUAAAAAUACAAAAAAAUUAGCCGGGCGUGGUGGCAGGCGCCUGUAGUCCCAGCUACUCGCGAGGCGGAGGCAGGAGAAUGGCGUGAACACGGGAGGCAGCGGAGCUUGCAGUGAGCCGAGAUCUCACCACUGCGCUCCAGCCUGGGCAACAGAGCGAGACUCCGUCUAAAAAAAAAAAGGUAGCAGUCUUUAUGGCUGUUUUUGUAGAUUGUGCACAGCUGCCUUUUAAUUAGUUUCUUGCAAGUGCACUACCCUUGAGAUCUAUUAAUAGGCAAAAUUUUUUUCCUAUUUAUUAUUACUGGCUAAGAAAUCUGCCACACUCCUAACCAUAUCAUGAUGACUGUUAUUUGUUACUGAUAGUAUUUGAGCUGUUUAGUUAACUGUGGAGGGGAAAAUUGGAGAAGUCAGUUGCAGUAAUUAUGGCCGAGAGAAAC
rnacentral:lncRNA from 1 species